UACGUAGGCAGCAAGCGUUGUUCGGAGUUACUGGGCGUAAAGAGUAUGUAGGCGGUGUUCUAAGUUCGGUGUGAAAUCUCCCGGCUCAACUGGGAGGGUGCGCCGAAGACUGGGAUGCUGGAGUCUCGGAGAGGAACGCGGAAUUCCUGGUGUAGCGGUGAAAUGCGUAGAUAUCAGGAGGAACACCAGUGGUGUAGACGGCGUUCUGGACGAGUACUGACGCUGAGAUACGAAGCGUGGGAGCAACAGG
rnacentral:rRNA from 1 species